CAGCAGCCACGGUAAUACGUAGGGUGCAAGCGUUGUCCGGAAUUAUUGGGCGUAAAGAGCUCGUAGGCGGUUUGUCGCGUCUGCUGUGAAAACUGGAGGCUCAACCUCCAGCCUGCAGUGGGUACGGGCAGACUAGAGUGCGGUAGGGGAGAUUGGAAUUCCUGGUGUAGCGGUGGAAUGCGCAGAUAUCAGGAGGAACACCGAUGGCGAAGGCAGAUCUCUGGGCCGUAACUGACGCUGAGGAGCGAAAGCGUGGGGAGCGAACAGGAUUAGAUACCCCCGUAGUCUCUGUCUCUUAUAA
rnacentral:rRNA from 1 species